CCCCCCCCCCCCCCCCCCCCCCCCCCCCCCCCCCCCCCCCCCCCCCCCCCCCCCCCCCCCCCCCCCCCCCCCCCCCCCCCCCCCCCCCCCCCCCCCCCCCCCCCCCCCCCCCCCCCCUCACCAAAGACCCUGUCCAAAUCCCAAAAUUUUCUCCCCAGAUCCCUGAAAAUCGCCAAAGACCCUGCCCAGAUCCCAAAAAUCCCUUCCCAGAUCCCCAAAAUUCACCAAAGACCCUGCCCAGAUCAAAGAAAAUCCCUUCCCAGGUCCCUGAAAAUCACCGAAGACCCUGCCCAGAUCAAAGAAAAUCCCUUCCCAGAUCCCAAAAAUCCCUUCCCAGAUCCCUGAAAAUCACCAAAGGCCCUGCCCAGAUCCCAGAACUCUCCAGGAAACUCUUCCCUGCUCCCCAGGAGUCCCAGAGCCCCUCCCCAGCUCUCCAGCCUUUGCCCAGCCCUCGCCCUGACCCCGUUGUUUUCGCAGCUCCCGCUGUCCCCGUUCCGGCCCCUCCCUGCUCCAGGAGGCUCCCAGGGACGAUCCCGAGGCGCUGGAAAUUCCCAAAAUCCCGGGUCCUGUUCCACAUCCCCCGGAGCCGCCCCAGAGCUCCCCCCUGGGCCCCUCUCCGGGGUUCCCUGGGGGGUUCCAGCCCCGAAAUUCCGCGGCCCCGCAGCAGAGGGAGGAGGAGCCGGCGGCCGGGGCGCAGAGUGAAGGGUCAGAUUCCGUCAUUUUGCUGAAGGUCAAGGAUUCCAGGACUCCGGCUCCAAGGUGAGGGGUGGGGAAUGGGGAGAUUUGGGGGAUUUUUUAGGGACACAGGGAGGUGACAGCGAAGAGGGACAGGGUGAGAAUUUGGGAAAUGAGGGAAUUCUGGGGAAAUUUCAGGAUUUUUGGUCACUUCCAACCCUCCUUUCUCCCUCUUUCCAGCCUUCCCUUUUUCCAGGCCGAGCUAUGGAUCAAGGAGCUGUGAGUUAAUAUUACCCUGCUGCCUUUUCCUGGGAUUUUUGGGGUGGAAAAACCAGAAUCCUGAUUUUUUAAAAUCGAUUUUUCCAUGAAAAUCCUGGCUCUUCCAGGACCAGCGUCUACGAUUCCCGAGCCAGAGAGAGGUGGAGGCAAAUCGAGGAGCAGAAAGCUCUGGCCCUGCAGCUCCAGAGCCAGGUGAGAAUUACAUGGAAAAAUGCACUGGCUUGGAAAAAAAAAAUUGGGGGAAAAAAGUGCAAGAACAAAAAAAAAAGCAGGUAAAAUCAAUUUUUAAAAAGCUUUUGUGCUUCCCAGUCAUGGGAGAAACAGCAAGGAAAAGAGGAAAUGUUGUCCCAGAUUGGAAAUCAUGCCAAAUUGGAAAUUUUGGUACUGGAAAGGUGGUUAUGGCUUGGAAAAGGGGUUAGAAUCCGUGGAAGUGGGGAAAAAAAUGAGAUGUGGCACUUGGGGACCAGGGUUGGGUGGCUCUGGAAGGGUUAAUUUCUGGAGAUUUUUCUGACUUUAUUGGUCCUAAAUCCUCCUUUUCCCCGAUCCCAAAUGCCUCUGUGAGGAGAAUCCCUGAUCCCGGCUCUCUCAUUCCCAAAUCCCUGAUCCUGGUUCUGUCAUUCCCAAAUCCCCACAAAUCCCCAGUCCCUGACCCCGGCUCUCUCAUUCCCAAAUCCCUGAUCCCAACUCUCUGAUCCCCUUUUCUUGACCCCGGCUCUCUCAUUCCCAAAUCCCCAUUCCCCAAUCCCAGCUCUCUCAUUCCCCAUUCCCACUCCCAGCUCUGGUCCCCUUCCCUGACCCAUCUCUCCCAUUCCCCAUUCCCACUCUCAGCUCUGGUCCUCACUCCCAGCUGACCCCGGCUCUCUCAUUCCCAAAUCCCCAUUCCCCAAUCCCAGCUCUCUCAUUCCCCAUUCCCACUUCCAGCUCUGGUCCCCUCCCCUGACCUGUCUCUCUCAUCCUCCAUUCCCAAUCCCAGCUCUCGUUCCCCACUCCCAGCUCCCAUUCCCCACUCCCAGCUCUCUCAUUCCCCAUCCCCACUCCCAUCCCCAUUCCCAUCCCAGCUCCCAUUCCCCAUUCCCCAUCCCCACUCCCAUUCCCACUCCCCACUCCCAUCUCUCCCACUCC
ensembl:lncRNA